rnacentral:misc_RNA from 1 species
GAACAGGGGACCCUGCAUUGUCCUGUUUACGGAACAAAAUCCGAUCAAGGCUACUGUUAGGCAUAUAAUCAUACACAAGGAACAACUGAUCAUCAUGAAAACACCAUCCCCUUAGCCUCACAAGAUUCCGAUGGCGGAGAUGAGCAACUGCCACUAACUCAGCAGCAAAUGUUUUCUCAAAUUUCUCCCCUUUUUCAGCUAAACAUUUCACAGCUACAACUGUUCCAUCACUAGGUAAAACAGCUCUAAAAACUUUCCCAAAUCCACCACUUCCUAAAACUUCAUCAUCACUAAAUCCAUUAGACCCUAUAAACAGCUCAGAAUAGCUAAAAAUCCUUGGAUUAUGAUGAUGAUUAUAAUCACCACCACCUUUCUCACCUAGCUGCAUACCCUCAGUAUCAUGAAAAACACCAGAAAAUUGUUUCUCCCCAAUUUCUUGAUGACAACAAGUUACCCAUUUGGAAUCAAGUAGUUUUGAAAAAGAUUCAUGAAUAAAAUCAAGAACUUGACCCCCACAACCCCUUUUGGAUAAAGACUCAUUUUUUUUCUUUGGUUUCUGUUGUACAACUUGUUUUUCACCAUCAACAACUUGUCCCCCAUAACCCCUUUUGAAAAAAGACUCAUUUUUUACCUUUGG